GACAGAGGGGGCAAGCGUUGCUCGGAAUCACUGGGCUUAAAGGGCGCGUAGGCGGGCUGUCAAGUCUGGGGUGAAAUGCCGCGGCUCAACCGUGGAACUGCCUUAGAUACUGACGGCCUCGAGGAAGGUAGGGGCAUGCGGAACUGUAGGUGGAGCGGUGAAAUGCGUUGAUAUCUACAGGAACUCCGGUGGCGAAAGCGGCGUGCUGGACCUUUUCUGACGCUGAGGCGCGAAAGCUAGGGGGAGCAAACGGG
rnacentral:rRNA from 1 species